AAAGUAAAGAGAAGGUGAAGAUAUAAGUUCAAGUAGGAAAGAAUAGUGAGCAGAGAUAAUAAGGAAUCAUCACAGUCUAAAGGUCGCGCAUGGCUACGCACCAGACUAGGAGGAAUUUAAGAGAACACCUAAAUUCUUUGAUCUGCUAACAAGCUGAUACAAAGAGUGUUCUCUCGUGACAAAACCAACA